CGUUGUUCAGCUGCUGAUAAAUGGACGGAUGAAGAAACGUCAAUUCUCAUAAAUAUCCUGCACGAUGAUUUGAGAAAAUCCGGAUUUAAAGAUUAUGCCAUCAGUGGUCCACGAUUUACAGAAGUUGAAAAUAAAUUUCCCUUACUGUCGUUGCACGUAAUGAUAGUCAACGAUCAGCAAGUGAAUGUUUUCAACAUUCGCUCGAGACAAUAAAUCGACAUGUUAGAAGAGUUGUUGUGGCACUUUGUCAAUUGAUGCCAACAUAUGUUUAUUCAAAAAAUAUGAAUGGUGUACAUCCAAAUAUUCGACACAAAAAUCGUUUUUGACCUUGGUUUAAGGACUGCAUUGGCGCAAUUGAUGGAACAUGUAUUCAAGGGGAGGUCCCAAGAAAUAGGCAACAGACAUAUCGUAACCGUAAAGGAAAUACUUCACAAAAUGUCUUAUGUGCAUGUGAUUUUGACUUGAGGUUCACCUUUGUUGCAGCAGAUUGAGAGGGUACUGCCCAUGAUAGUAAAGUUCUUGAGAAUGCAAUUCUUGACUCAUUGGCUAACUUUCCUUUUCCACCACAUGAAAAAUAUUACGUUGUUGACGCUGGUCUUAGAAACACAAAAGAUUUUCUAGCUCCAUGUAAAGGAGUGCGAUAUCAUUUGCAAGACUACAGGGGAAGCGAAUGAGAGCCUAAAAAUGGCAAAGAGCAGUUUAACUAUAGACAUGCCUUUUUGCGUAAUGUAAUUGAAAGAAUAUUUGGUACGUGAAAAAGUAAAUUUCAAAAUACUACGACAAGACAUGAAUAACUAUGACUUAGAGAU